rnacentral:rRNA from 1 species
UACGUAGGGGGCAAGCGUUGUCCGGAAUCAUUGGGCGUAAAGAGCGUGUAGGCGGUCCGGUAAGUCCGCUGUGAAAGUCGGGGGCUCAACCCUCGAAUGCCGGUGGAUACUGUCGGGCUAGAGUGCGGAAGAGGCGAGUGGAAUUCCUGGUGUAGCGGUGAAAUGCGCAGAUAUCAGGAGGAACACCAAUUGCGAAGGCAGCUCGCUGGGACGUUACUGACGACUGGAGACGCGAAAGCCGUGGGGAGCAAACAGG